rnacentral:misc_RNA from 1 species
GGUACGCGCGUACAGGUGGAUGUUCGGCGCGCGUCGCUCUUUCCCCGCCACUUUGCGUUUUGAACCAUUUUGAAAUCGUGCCGAUGCGGAGCGCGCGUGAAGCAAGACCGACGUUCAGCCUCGAGAUCAUCCUCCUCCCGCUUUUAGGCGAUGAGAAUCAACAGUAUGAAGAAAUUGAGCUCCCUCGUCAGGGGAUACCAACGGUAUUGCCACUCUUCACCAAGGGUAAUACAGGGACAUACAACGAAGAUCAUUGGAAGACGCGCGUCGAGCGUCGCUGUGGAGUCUGUGAAGAGUACUGUUCGAAUGUGGCGGCUGUUUGUACCAGCAGGAGUUGGAUUCUCAGCAGCUUUGGUGACUCAGUGGAGGUAUCUGCAUCAACAUGGGUAUCCCGUUGAUGUAGCCGACGACAAGCCGGAAUUGUUGAAUGAUUUUAUGGUAACAUGCUAUUGUUGCUUACCGCUGAGGAUAACCAGCAGGAUAGGAGGUUGGCUGACCAGCAUCAAUUUACCAGUCGGCUUGAGGCCAACAAUAUAUCGUGUUUUUGCCAAUAUGUUUAAUGUCAAUCAGGAUGAGAUAGAAUUAGACUUGUCAACAUUUCCAAGUCUGGUUGAGUUUUUUGUGAGGGCACUUAAAAACAAUGCCAGACCGAUUGCUCAAAAUACAAAUAUGACUGCGCCUGCAGAUGGUGAAGUUCUUUACUUUGGGCCAGUGACUUCUUGCCGUGUGGAACAAGUCAAAGGAGUAACUUAUGAUCUCAAGUAUUUUUUGGGUGACUUAUCCAGCCUUUCAGUGGACCAAAUGGUGCAUAAGACUGAGCAAAAGGACGAUUUUGUUAAUGCAUUAUUAAAGAAUCCAGACAAUAGGCUUUAUCAAUUGAUCGUUUACCUGGCACCUGGUGAUUAUCAUCGAUUUCACAGUCCAACUGAUUGGAAUAUAAAAUUCCGACGACAUUUCCCAGGGAAGUUAUUGAGUGUUAAUCCGACGGUGCUGAAGUACAUGCCGAAUCUGUUUUCAUUGAACGAACGUGUCGUGUACCUUGGAGAAUGGGCGGGCGGUUUCAUGGCGUAUGCAGCGAUCGGAGCAACGAAUGUGGGUUCGAUAAAAGUCUACCGCGAUCAAGAGUUAGCGACUAACAAGGUGCGAUGGACGGACACCGCGUACCGGAAGGACCUCAGCUUCGACAACGUGCGCAUGGCUAAAGGUGAACUGUUCGGCGAAUUCAGACUCGGUUCGACGAUCGUGCUCCUGUUUGAGGCACCGCCGGACUUCCAGUUCUGCCUGCAAACUGGCCAGCCCAUCAAAGUUGGUCAGGCGUUGAGUGUGUGUCCUGAUCGCGAGGCUGACGAUCAGAGACGGACUAAACAGCAUUUGAUCAUAGACGUUGCACACAAGUGGAAGGACAUAGGGAAGAUUGGAGCAUAGGGCAGAACGACCAGCGAUAGGAGCUCUACUUUCCUGUUUUAGUCUUAGUGAAAAGUCAAAGACGUACCUGUAUGUCGCACGCGAUCCCAUGCAAAUUCGAAUUGUAGGUAGAACAAAACGGACAGAUCUCUGAAUGUGCUGAAGACUAUUUUUUACGAGUAUUGCAUCCAGCCCUCACACAGCGAGCGAACUUUUGUAACACAGGCGCGCGCGCACAUGUAUGUAAAGCUUUACAUAAUUACAAGAAGAGACGAAGGAAAGGAAAAAUAUGUGGGACCACUCAGUGCGUGAGAACGAUAUUUCCUCGACUUCUUGCGCGUCAUUACCAAUGGAGGUCGGAUCGUAAACUAUUUUUCUUAGGUGCACGUGGUAAAUCGAUCUCUCUAGUUAGUCGGCCGGUCAAGGCCGUCAGAUGCAACACUUUCCUCAAUUAAAGCUCUAGCCGCUUUUUCAAACCAGGAAAUAAUAGCCGCGUCGUAUAUCUUAAGACUCAUUGCGCACGAAAAGCCGUCGGCCGGAUUGACCCCGUUAGAGCGAGAGAGCGCCUUCAUGAUCUCUAUCGUUAAUAUUAACGGUAUCUCGGGACUCGCCGCACUUUCAACCCUAUUUGUCCCGACGUGUUCAGCGUUGAUGUGAUCACGCGAACGAAUAAGCGAAUUAAAUUGUGUGUGAUAUGAGUGCUCAAUCGAAUAGAUACAUAUUUUGUGACGCAAGCGCACGGGAUAAUAAAAGGCUCGAUUAAAAGUG